AGUGAACUCUGGCGGCGUGCUUAACACAUGCAAGUCGAACGAGAACGGAUUAUAGCUUGCUAUAAUUGUCAGCUAAGUGGCGCACGGGUGAGUAAUGUAUAGGUAAUAUGCCUCUUACUAAGGGAUAACAAAUGGAAACGUUUGCUAAUACCUUAUACUCCUUAUUAACAGAAGUUAAUAAGGGAAAGAUUUAUUGGUAAGAGAUUAGCCUGUGUUGUAUCAGUUAGUUGGUGGGGUAAUGGCUUACCAAGACUAUGACACAUAACUGGUUUGAGAGGAUGAUCAGUCACACUGGAACUGAGACACGGUCCAGACUCCUACGGGAGGCAGCAGUGGGGAAUAUUGCACAAUGGACGAAAGUCUGAUGCAGCAACGCCGCGUGGAGGAUGACACAUUUCGGUGCGUAAACUCCUUUUAUGUGAGAAGAUAAUGACGGUAUUAUAUGAAUAAGCACCGGCUAACUCCGUGCCAGCAGCCGCCGUAA
rnacentral:rRNA from 1 species